rnacentral:ncRNA from 1 species
UACAAAACAGUGAAAGACGAAUAGUAGCUAAAUCAAGCUUCCAAAGCGAGCUAGGGUUGGUGUGAGCCUAGUGAAGAAAUUUAUGUGAAACGGCAGUCUGGAGUUUUUAUGAUAAAGUGGGUAUAUGAAAUAUAUACCAACUAGGGUGGAACCGCGGGAGCUAAACUCUCGUCCCUAGG